AGAGAGACCAGAGAGCCAGUCCAACCCAGUCCAUCACCUGGAGGCUGGAGAACCACGAGGCUGUUGCCUGUUCGUCCCCCUCUUCUGAGAGGUCCAGCCUUUAAAGUAUGGCCUUCUGAAAACCUGACCCUGGGAGACCUGGGAGCCUCAACUUUGUGCAGACUCCAAAUGAGACUCACCAUGAUGCGCCAGAAAUCUCACACCUCUAAUCCACAAAAGGGAGAAGCUUCAUGGUUUAAAUGCCAUUGUCUCUAAGAGACUGAAAUCACUGGAUCUGUGGCAAACCAGGGCAGGGUGGCCUUUGCCACAAUGUACCUGGACUGAAUUUGUGGAGAUCAAUUUGGUGUUGGACUUUGUGAUGGUUUUAAUAUUCCUCCCUUCCCUUGAGUGUGGACUGGAUUUAUAGUAGUAAAUCUCUUCUAAUGACUAAAAUGAAGCAAAAGUGAGGGUCUGUGAGUUCCGAGAGUGGGUCAUAAAACAAAUGUGGCUUCCUCCUUGCCUUUUCUCUCAGGUCACCUGCUCUGGGAGAAGCCAGUUGCCAUGUUGUAAGGACACUCAAGCAGCCCAUGGAAUGACUCACAUGCUGAAGAACUGAGCCCUCCCUCCUUCCAACAGCCAGGGAGGAACUAGGGCUUCUUGCCAAUAACCAUGUGAAGAAGCUUGGAAAUGGAUUCUCCCCCAAAUGAGUCUUCAGAUUACUUUAGACUAACAUCUUGACUGCAACCUCUAGAAAGACCCUGAGCCAGGAUCACCAAGCUCACAGAAGCUAAGAGUUAAUAAAUGUUUGAAUUAA
rnacentral:lncRNA from 1 species